AGCGAACGCUGGCGGCAGGCCUAAUACAUGCAAGUCGAACGGCUCUUCGGAGCAGUGGCGGACGGGUGAGUAACACGUGGGAACGUGCCCUUUGGUACGGAACAACUGAGGGAAACUUCAGCUAAUACCGUAUGUGCCCCCAUUCUUAGCGGGAUGGGUGGGAAAGAUUUAUCGCCAUUGGAGCGGCCCGCGUUGGAUUAGCUAGUGGGUGGGGUAAAAGCCCACCAAGGCUACGAUCCAUAGCUGGUCUGAGAGGAUGAUCAGCCACACUGGGACUGGGACACGGCCCAGACUCCUACGGGAGGCAGCAGUAGGGAAUCUUGCGCAAUGGGCGAAAGCCUGACGCAGCCAUGCCGCGUGAAUGAUGAAGGUCUUAGGAUUGUAAAAUUCUUUCACCGGGGAAGAUAAUGACGGUACCCGGAGAAGAAGCCCCGGCUAACUUCGUGCCAGCCGCCGCCGUAA
rnacentral:rRNA from 1 species